rnacentral:lncRNA from 1 species
GUCGAUAUGGGGACGUACGGGGAAAUCUAGAACUAGGGAAAUUCUCCCAAAGGUAGUAUUGCCUAUACAUAGGAAUAUGUGGUAAUAUGAGGAUUGGUUGCAUNCACACUCCUGUGCUUCAGAAUUAAUUAUUAGGGAUGCUAGGAAUCAUAUGAACUCGUAGUUAAGGAUAGGCUUUCUUACCGGUGACAGCGGUAUUAAGUGUUUUAGAGAGUGGCAUUAACAUUAAUGAAGAAGAGAAAUUCUUAUAUGCAUGAGAGUGAUUAGGUGAAAUCUAACCCCAACAACAUAUUCAUCUCAUAUUCUAAUCUGCAUCCAUCCAUCCAAUUUUGUGUUUAACCUCAAUUGAUCAAAUUGCAUUCAUGUUUAUUUUUCCGUCCUUUAUAUUUAAAAAUCUCAAAAUAUUGUUUUUACAGUCUUGAUUGGUUAAGCAAAAGCACAACAGUUUAGUGCUGUGAGUCUCUUGGGAAAACGAUACUUGGACUUACCAUUUUAUUAUUACUUGAACAAUUUGGUACGCUUGCCCAUUUGUCAACAAGUUUUUGGCGCCGUUGCCGGGGACUCAUGGUAGAACUAUUCUAUGUGUGCGAUUCUUGAUCGAUUAGACUUUCUUUUUAUUUUAUUUGUCUUAUUUGAUUUGAUUUGAUUUUAUCUUAUUUUGUUUUAUUUGAUUUGAUUUGAUUUUAUUUUAUUUUAUUUUGUUUUAUUUGAUUUGAUUUGAUUUUAUUUUAUUUUAUUUUAUUUUAUUUGAUUUGAUUUGAUUUUAUUUUAUUUUAUUUUAUUUUAUUUUAUUUUAUUAUAUUUUUUUUAUCUUUCUAUUUUUAUUUAAAUAAAAAAAACGAAAAUAAAAUAAAAUAAUAUCUUUCUUUAUUCUUCUCCUUAUUCUUCUUCACAUUCUUUCCCUCAUUCUUCUCCUUAUAUUUCCAUCUUUCUACCUUUCUAUCUUUCUAUUUAUUUUUCUUUUUAUCUUUUUAUUUUAUUUUUUUAUUUUUUCUUUCUGUUUUUAUUUUUAUUUUUAUUUUUAUAUAAAAAAACGAAAAUUAAAAAUAAAAAUUAUCUUUUACUAUUUUUAUUUUUGGGCUAAUUUUGUGCUCUAGUGCAGUGUUCUUUAGUGUAUGCAGGAUAAAAUUUUUGGUACUAGGAGCACAAGACCAUCAGGAGGAAAAUAAGGAAGGAGAAUUGGUUCACCAACACCCUGAUGUGAAAAGUGACAAACUCUAACCUGGCACAUCAAUGAAAUUGAAAAUUAGGUUAUGUGUUGUCAAGACUAUCAAAGCAAAUAGAGCUCUUACAGUUGGUGACAAAGGAAAUUUCCGAGAUGUUGUUGGUGUCAUGAAGGAAGGAGGAACACCAACAUAAAAUUUCAACACCUACUGAUGGGUGUUUGGGCUUUACCGGGUCAAGCUAAUGACGUUAAAAAAGCGCUUGCUAGGAGGCAACCCAGUUUCUGAAUUUUUUAUCUUCAAUUUCGUUUUGAUUUUAUUUUAUUUUAUUGUAUUUUAUUUUAUUUUAUUUGAUUUUAUUUUAUUUUAUUUUUAUUUUAUUUUCUUUUAUUUGAUUUUUUUAUUUGAUUUUAUUUGAUUUUAUUUUAUUUCAUAGGGUUGUGUGCUGCUUCUAAUGGCAGUGAUGAUAGCAUCUACUGAUGGAUGCUUCUACAACAUCUACUGAUGGAUGUUAGGUGAUAUGGCAUUUACUAAUGGAUGCCAAUGAAGAUUAGAAAGAUUAGCAUUUACUGAUGAGUGCUACUGGGAUAGUGAUAAGCUGUCGUUGAAGCUAUCAAAUUAAUACUACUUUUCAAGGCAACUUCAGUAUUGCCUAGUAGUAUUCAAGAAAGUAGAUAGGGCUAAAGUAAC